rnacentral:rRNA from 1 species
ACGGGAGGCAGCAGUAGGGAAUAUUGCACAAUGGGGGAAACCCUGAUGCAGCGACGCCGCGUGAGUGAUGAAGUAUUUCGGUACGUAAAGCUCUAUCAGCAGGGAAGAUAAUGACGGUACCUGACUAAGAAGCCCCGGCUAACUACGUGCCAGCAGUCGCGGUAAUACGUAGGGGGCAAGCGUUAUCCGGAUUUACUGGGUGUAAAGGGAGUGUAGGUGGCCUGGCAAGCCAGAUGUGAAAGCCCGCGGCUCAACCGCGGGACUGCAUUUGGAACUGUUAGGCUUGAGUGCAGGAGAGGAAAGUGGAAUUCCUAGUGUAGCGGUGAAAUGCGUAGAUAUUAGGAGGAACACCAGUGGCGAAGGCGGCUUACUGGACUGUAACUGACGUUGAGGCUCGAAAGCGUGGGGAGCAAACAGGAUUAGAUACCCUGGUA